AAGUCGUAACAAGGUUUCCGUAGGUAACCUGCGGAAGGUCCAAUUAAAGAGAUGAGGGUUCGUUCAUGGCCCGCCUCCAACCCUCUUUGUUAUAACUACCUUGUUGCUUUGGCGGGACCGUCUCGGUCUCCGAGCGCACUAACCCUCGGGUUGGUGAGCGCCCGCCAGAGUCCAACCAAACUCUUGUAUUAAACCAGUCGUCUGAGUAUAAAAUUUUAAUUAAAUUAAAA
rnacentral:misc_RNA from 1 species